GCUCAGAUCAGGCCUGCUUCUGAUAGGAGGGGGUUUAAAAUGAAGAAUUUCUUGCUGGUGUAGUUGUUUUGUACCAUAAAUUCCAUCUCUGCUCCAACCAAGCCUGGGAUUUUUAAAUCUGGGUUCCUACAAAGACCCCUUAAAAUUGGUGGACUUUCAUUCAUUAUAUCAUAAUUCCUUCAUUUAUUUAUUGAGCACUUAUUGUGUGCUCUGCACUAUACUAAUCCACAGCCUCCUAACUCCAAUUCUACAGCCAUCCUGACUCCAGGACUUGAUCAACACCAUAACUGCAUGACAGCCAAGACUAACCAACUUCCACAAGGGAAUCUUUGAGAAGAAAACCCACCAACAACUUUCCCCCUGCCCGCAUCCCAGAGGAAGACUGACCAAGCAGGUGGAGAGGGCAAAGGGAAGGUGAGAAGGGAAAACCAAAUGGCAUUUACAUUUAGCAGUCCCUAUUUUCUGCCAAGUUAGGCUCUGCUUUCACACCCAGUCAUCUCUCAGAAUGGAACCAAGCCCUCUGUACUGUUGAAGUGGCUGCUUCCCAAGCAGCUUACUCUGAUAAAAUCUG